UACGUAGGAGGCGAGCGUUGUCCGGAUUUACUGGGCGUAAAGAGCGCGCAGGCGGUCGUUCAAGUCGAGUGUGAAAGCCCCCGGCUCAACUGGGGAGGGUCAUUCGAUACUGAUCGACUCGAAGGCAGGAGAGGGAAGUGGAAUUCCCGGUGUAGUGGUGAAAUGCGUAGAUAUCGGGAGGAACACCAGUGGCGAAGGCGACUUCCUGGCCUGUUCUUGACGCUGAGGCGCGAAAGCUAGGGGAGCAAACGGG
rnacentral:rRNA from 1 species